rnacentral:misc_RNA from 1 species
UUGAGUGUCAUGAAACAUCAUCCCGUCGGGUUUCCGACGGCAUGGACUUGGGUGUUGCCGUCUGGCUCACCUCAAAAGCCUUAGUGGUCCGAUCCGAAUCUGGCGUAAUAAGUUUCGCUGGCCUAGAUGAAGACUGCUUGACCCGUCUCUGACAUUUUUGCUCUGACCUCAAAUCAGGUAGGACUACCCGCUGAACUUAA